GUCGCGUGAGGGAUGACGGUCCUAUGGAUUGUAAACCUCUUUUGUCAGGGAGCAAAGGGCGCCACGUGUGGCGCUUUGCGAGUACCUGAAGAAAAAGCAUCGGCUAACUCCGUGCCAGCAGCCGCGGUAAUACGGAGGAUGCGAGCGUUAUCCGGAUUUAUUGGGUUUAAAGGGUGCGCAGGCGGAAUGUCAAGUCAGCGGUAAAAUUUCGGGGCUCAACCCCGUCGUGCCGUUGAAACUGGCGUUCUUGAGUGAGCGAGAAGUAUGCGGAAUGCGUGGUGUAGCGGUGAAAUGCAUAGAUAUCACGCAGAACUCCGAUUGCGAAGGCAGCAUACCGGCGCUCAACUGACGCUCAUGCACGAAAGCGUGGGUAUCGAACAGGAUUAGAUACCCUGGUAGUCCACGCAGUAAACGAUGAAUACUAACUGUCCGGGCAGAAUGAUGCCUGG
rnacentral:rRNA from 1 species